GUCUGAGAGGGAAUAACUUUUAUCUGAUUACUCUUCAGGACUCCUGCUGCAAAGGACGCACUGAAGUAUUCAUCAUGACUCCUGAUCCAAAUUCUAACUUAACAAGGCCAGGUUAGUGAUGCUGAUACAGAAUACUUACAAGCACAGCACAUCAGAGAUGACUGCAUUUCAGCGGUGAAAGAAGUGAUGCAGAUCCUGACCUCCUGAAAGGCCUGCUGCAGAGCAAUAAAAGGAAGGGAAAUUGCAGAGGAAAGAUGAGAUCUGGAGUGCAUUGUAUGGCCCUAAAUUAUUAGGUAUUUUUAUUGUGUUCUUGCCAAAAAGAGAAAUUGUACUCUAAUUAGGAGAGUACAGAAGAAUAGAUAUUGUAAA